rnacentral:rRNA from 1 species
AAAUGAAUAGACGGGGGCCCGCACAAGCAGUGGAGUAUGUGGUUUAAUUCGAAGCAACGCGAAGAACCUUACCGGGGCUUGACAUGGCGUCGAAUGUCGUAGAGAUACGGCAGCCUCUUUGGGGCGGCGUCACAGGUGGUGCAUGGUUGUCGUCAGCUCGUGUCGUGAGAUGUUGGGUUAAGUCCCGCAACGAGCGCAACCCUUACCUUUAGUUGCUACAUUCAGUUGAGCACUCUAAAGGGACUGCCGUUGACAAAACGGAGGAAGGCGGGGAUGAGGUCAAAUCAUCAUGCCCUUUAUGUCCCGGGCUACACACGUACUACAAUGGCGUCUAACAGACCGAAGCGAAGCCGCGAGGCGGAGCAAACCGGAAAAAGGCGUCUCAGUUCAGAUUGCAGGCUGCAACUCGCCUGUAUGAAGGCGGAAUUGCUAGUAAUCGCGAGUCAGCAUAUCGCGGUGAAUACGUUCCCGGGCCUUGUACACACCGCCCGU